CGUAGGGUGCAAGCGUUAAUCGGAAUUACUGGGCGUAAAGCGUGCGCAGGCGGUUUGGUAAGACAGAUGUGAAAUCCCCGGGCUUAACCUGGGAAUUGCAUUUGUGACUGCCCGGCUAGAGUUUGGCAGAGGGGGGUAGAAUUCCACGUGUAGCAGUGAAAUGCGUAGGUAUGUGGAGGAAUACCGAUGGCGAAGGCAGCCCCCUGGGUCAAGACUGACGCUCAUGCACGAAAGCGUGGGGAGCAAACAGGAUUAGAUACCCUGGUAGUCCACGCCCUAAACGAUGUCUACUAGUUGUCGGGUCUUAAUUGACUUGGUAACGCAGCUAACGCGUGAAGUAGACCGCCUGGGGAGUACGGUCGCAAGAUUA
rnacentral:rRNA from 1 species